UCCUCCCUCUGGCUUCGUGCUUAACACAUGCAAGUCGAACGGAAAGGCCCUGCUUUUGUGGGGUGCUCGAGUGGCGAACGGGUGAGUAACACGUGAGUAACCUGCCCUUGACUUUGGGAUAACUUCAGGAAACUGGGGCUAAUACCGGAUAGGAGCUCCUGCUGCAUGGUGGGGGUUGGAAAGUUUCGGCGGUUGGGGAUGGACUCGCGGCUUAUCAGCUUGUUGGUGGGGUAGUGGCUUACCAAGGCUUUGACGGGUAGCCGGCCUGAGAGGGUGACCGGCCACAUUGGGACUGAGAUACGGCCCAGACUCCUACGGGAGGCAGCAGUGGGGAAUAUUGCACAAUGGGCGGAAGCCUGAUGUAGCAACGCCGCGUGCGGGAUGACGGCCUUCGGGUUGUAAACCGCUUUCGCCUGUGACGAAGCGUGAGUGACGGUAAUGGGUAAAGAAGCACCGGCUAACUACGUG
rnacentral:rRNA from 1 species